rnacentral:tRNA from 1 species
GUGGGCGUAGCUCAGCUGGUUAGAGCUCUGGAUUGUGAUUCCAGAGGUCGUGGGUUCGAGUCCCAUCGUCCACCCCA